UAAAAUAAAACGGGGAGCUGAAGGAAUUCGGCUGAGAGGGAGCUAGACUGCUCCGACCCAUACAACCUGAACUGGAUAAUGCCAGCGGAGGGAAAGAAUAUGCGCUUUGA
rnacentral:ncRNA from 2 species